UUAGGCGGAGUCUCGCCCUGUCGCCCAGGCUGGACCAGAAGGCAGGAGCCCCAUGCAGUCCUGUGCUGAUGAAGACCCAUUUUUUUCUAGGAGAUUUACACUUUCAUAUGUAUCCCCUGUGACCAGCCCACACACCUGGCUGAGAGAUGGCUCUGCAGGGAGGGAGUCAGCAGGAGGGGAGGGGAGGGAAGAGGAGGGGAGGAAAGAUAUCUUGGGAGGCCAAGGAAAGAUAAGUGAAGAAACCACCUAAGAGGGCAAAUGCAGGGCUCAGUGGGAGGGGCCCAGAGAUGUCCUGAGGAGCCCUGGUGGCAUCUGCCUUGACACCAGGUCCACUGCAGACAGUCGCAAUUUCAUCCAUCCAUUCAUCUAUCAGAUAUUGAGUGAGGGCCUACUAGGUACCAGGCCCACUGCAGACAGUCGCAAUUUCAUCCAUCCAUUCAUCUAUCAGAUACUGAUUGAGGGCCUACUAGGUACCAGGUCCUGAGGAUAUAGCCCUGAACAAAGCAGAUAACAGUCCCUG
rnacentral:lncRNA from 10 species